CAGGCUGGAGCGCAUGUAUUGCAGUCUGCAGGAUCAGAUACUUGGUGAGUUGAUGUGCCUGAGAUAUUAUACUACUUAAGUAGAUUUGUUUAAACUUUCAAUGGUUGUAAUUUGUCAUAUUUUUUGUAGAUUCUAAUGCAAAUGCAAGUCAUAGUGCAGAGAUGAUUGAGUACAAGCGAAAAUAUAACGGACAGACCCACGACCAUGACUGGCACUGUUAUUAAGCGGCGUAAAUCAAGGACAUCCCUACUAUUUUGAAUUUAGAGAUUUAGUCAAGCUUGAAACCUCAUCGCUGGUGAGCUCUCAAACAUUACA
rnacentral:lncRNA from 1 species